rnacentral:rRNA from 1 species
CGUGUAGGCGGCUUGGUAAGUCAGAUGUGAAAGCCCUGGGCUUAACCCAGGAAGUGCAUUUGAAACUGCCAGGCUUGAGUAGGGAAGAGGAAGGUGGAAUUCCUGGUGUAGAGGUGAAAUUCGUAGAUAUCAGGAGGAACACCGGUGGCGAAGGCGACCUUCUGGUCCUAUACUGACGCUGAGACGCGAAAGCAUGGGUAGCAAACA